GACGAACGCUGUCGGCGUGCUUAACACAUGCAAGUCGAACGGAAAGGCCCUGCUUUUGUGGGGUGCUCGAGUGGCGAACGGGUGAGUAACACGUGAGUAACCUGCCCUUGACUUUGGGAUAACUUCAGGAAACUGGGGCUAAUACCGGAUAGGAGCUCCUGCUGCAUGGUGGGGGUUGGAAAGUUUCGGCGGUUGGGGAUGGACUCGCGGCUUAUCAGCUUGUUGGUGGGGUAGUGGCUUACCAAGGCUUUGACGGGUAGCCGGCCUGAGAGGGUGACCGGCCACAUUGGGACUGAGAUACGGCCCAGACUCCUACGGGAGGCAGCAGUGGGGAAUAUUGCACAAUGGGCGGAAGCCUGAUGCAGCAACGCCGCGUGCGGGAUGACGGCCUUCGGGUUGUAAACCGCUUUCGCCUGUGACGAAGCGUGAGUGACGGUAAUGGGUAAAGAAGCACCGGCUAACUACGUGCCAGCAGCCGCGGUGAUACGUAGGGUGCGAGCGUCGUCCGGAUUUAUUGGGCGUAAAGGGCUCGUAGGUGGUUGAUCGCGUCGGAAGUGUAAUCUUGGGGCUUAACCCUGAGCGUGCUUUCGAUACGGGUUGACUUGAGGAAGGUAGGGGAGAAUGGAAUUCCUGGUGGAGCGGUGGAAUGCGCAGAUAUCAGGAGGAACACCAGUGGCGAAGGCGGUUCUCUGGGCCUUUCCUGACGCUGAGGAGCGAAAGCGUGGGGAGUGAACGGGCUUAGAUACCCUGGUAGUCCACGCUGUAAACGGUGGGUACUAGGUGUGGGGUCCAUUCCACGGGUUCCGUGCCGUAGCUAACGCUUUAAGUACCCCGCCUGGGGAGUACGGCCGCAAGGCUAAAACUCAAAGGAAUUGACGGGGCCCCGCACAAGCGGCGGAGCAUGCGGAUUAAUUCGAUGCAACGCGUAGAACCUUACCUGGGUUUGACAUGGAUCGGGAGUGCUCAGAGAUGGGUGUGCCUCUUUUGGGGUCGGUUCACAGGUGGUGCAUGGCUGUGGUCAGCUCGUGUCGUGAGAUGUUGGGUUAAGUCCCGCAACGAGCGCAACCCUUGUUCACUGUUGCCAGCACGUUAUGGUGGGGACUCAGUGGAGACCGCCGGGGUCAACUCGGAGGAAGGUGGGGAUGACGUCAAGUCAUCAUGCCCCUUAUGUCCAGGGCUUCACGCAUGCUACAAUGGCUGGUACAGAGAGUGGCGAGCCUGUGAGGGUGAGCGAAUCUCGGAAAGCCGGUCUCAGUUCGGAUUGGGGUCUGCAACUCGACCUCAUGAAGUCGGAGUCGCUAGUAAUCGCAGAUCAGCAACGCUGCGGUGAAUACGUUCCCGGGGCU
rnacentral:rRNA from 1 species